rnacentral:rRNA from 1 species
AUCAACCGAGAUUCCCCCAGUAGCGGCGAGCGAACGGGGAGGAGCCCAGAGCCUGAAUCAGUGUGUGUGUUAGUGGAAGCGUCUGGAAAGGCGCGCGAUACAGGGUGACAGCCCCGUACACAAAAAUGCACAUGCUGUGAGCUCGAUGAGUAGGGCGGGACACGUGGUAUCCUGUCUGAAUAUGGGGGGACCAUCCUCCAAGGCUAAAUACUCCUGACUGACCGAUAGUGAACCAGUACCGUGAGGGAAAGGCGAAAAGAACCCCGGCGAGGGGAGUGAAAAAGAACCUGAAACCGUGUACGUACAAGCAGUGGGAGCACGCUUCGGCGUGUGACUGCGUACCUUUUGUAUAAUGGGUCAGCGACUUAUAUUCUGUAGCAAGGUUAACCGAAUAGGGGAGCCGAAGGGAAACCGAGUCUUAACUGGGCGUUAAGUUGCAGGGUAUAGACCCGAAACCCGGUGAUCUAGCCAUGGGCAGGUUGAAGGUUGGGUAACACUAACUGGAGGACCGAACCGACUAAUGUUGAAAAAUUAGCGGAUGACUUGUGGCUGGGGGUGAAAGGCCAAUCAAACCGGGAGAUAGCUGGUUCUCCCCGAAAGCUAUUUAGGUAGCGCCUCGUGAAUUCAUCUCCGGGGGUAGAGCACUGUUUCGGCAAGGGGGUCAUCCCGACUUACCAACCCGAUGCAAACUGCGAAUACCGGAGAAUGUUAUCACGGGAGACACACGGCGGGUGCUAACGUCCGUCGUGAAGAGGGAAACAACCCAGACCGCCAGCUAAGGUCCCAAAGUCAUGGUUAAGUGGGAAACGAUGUGGGAAGGCCCAGACAGCCAGGAUGUUGGCUUAGAAGCAGCCAUCAUUUAAAGAAAGCGUAAUAGCUCACUGGUCGAGUCGGCCUGCGCGGAAGAUGUAACGGGGCUAAACCAUG